AACGCACGAGACCUGCGGACCUGCGGAAGGAUCAUUACCAGGUGAUGUCUGGCCCUUCGGGGUCAGCAUCUCCCCCUUUCUUGUCUACUGACCCCGUUGUCUGGGCGUGCUUCCGGAGGUGUGGUGCCUAACCAUGCCCCCCCGGCAGCCCAGAAGUUAGGUCUAAACUCAGGUAACAUUGGUGACAUGUCUGACUAUUGUAUCAAUUCAAUUGAUCAAAACUUUUAGCAAUGGAUCUCU
rnacentral:misc_RNA from 1 species